UGGGGAAUAUUGCACAAUGGGCGCAAGCCUGAUGCAGCAACGCCGCGUGAACGAUGAAGGUCUUCGGAUCGUAAAGUUCUGUUGCAGGGGAAGAUAAUGACGGUACCCUGUGAGGAAGCCCCGGCUAACUACGUGCCAGCAGCCGCGGUAAUACGUAGGGGGCUAGCGUUAUCCGGAUUUACUGGGCGUAAAGGGUGCGUAGGUGGUCCUUCAAGUCGGUGGUUAAAGGCUACGGCUCAACCGUAGUAAGCCGCCGAAACUGGAGGACUUGAGUGCAGGAGAGGAAAGUGGAAUUCCCAGUGUAGCGGUGAAAUGCGUAGAUAUUGGGAGGAACACCAGUAGCGAAGGCGGCUUUCUGGACUGCAACUGACACUGAGGCACGAAAGCGUGGGGAGCAAACAGG
rnacentral:rRNA from 1 species